UUGUUCAACGAGUGAGUGUGAGAUGACUCACCUCUACCCUACCAUUAUUAUUCGUCUAGCCAGCCCAUAUUCUCAUCUCAAAAUUUGGCCAGAAGAAAGGUGAUACCAUAUCAAUCCUCCACUUCUCACUUCCUAUCUCUUGUUUUUCUCUGUUUCCACUGCUACCCGAAACAUGGCUGAGGCACUCAUUUCUGGGCUGCUCCAAAAAUUGGGUUCGGUAACUUACGAAUACGUCGCAGAAGAGGUGAAGCUGGUUUUGAAUGCGGAGAAAGAUGUUAAAGAAUUCGAGGCCAAGCUUAAAGCGAUUAGUGCUGUGCUUGCAGAUGCGGAGCAGAGGCAAGUGAAGGAGGCCAGCGUCAGAAAUUGGCUGGAGGAGCUGACAGAGGUGUCGUACAAGAUGGACAAUGUGCUUGAUGAGUGGAACACUGAAAUACUGAAACAAGAAGUUGAGAAACAAGAAGAGUACGGUGGAAGUACUUGUCUUGUUACUGUGACGAAGAUGAAGGCGGUAUGUUUCUCUAUUCUCUCCUCUUGCUUUUGUUUUGAUCAAGUCGGACGGGUAAUUCAUGGUCGUAAGAUUGCUGGCAAGAUCAAAAGUCUGAAUGAAAAUUUAGAUGCGAUUGCUGAGCAAGGACAGAGAUAUAAAUUUCUCCUCACAGAGAGAACGACCAUUGAACAACCCGAGCGAGAGAAAACUUCUUCUUUUGUUGAUGCAUCUAUGAUAUUUGGUAGAGAACAAGAAAAGAAAGAUUUGGUCAGCAAGUUGUUGAAUGAGAGUCGUCAAGAAGAGAGGAGCCUCCUUGUCAUCCCUAUUGUCGGGAUGGGAGGAAUGGGGAAGACAACUCUGGCCCAACUGGCUUUUAACGAUGAAAAUGUUAAAGCCUGUUUUAAGAUCAAAAUAUGGGUUUGUGUUUCGGACCCUUUUGAUGAGAUCAAAAUUGCCAAGGCCAUCAUUGAGGGUGUCGGAGCUACCCCCCCAAAUUCAGAUGAAUUGGAAACUUUAUUGCAAUGUAUCUUUAAAUCCAUUGAGGGAAAGAAGUUUCUCCUUGUCCUAGAUGAUGUGUGGACUGAAGACGAAAGAAAGUGGGAGAAAUUGAAGUUGCCAUUAAUACAAAGUGGCGAUUGUGGCAGUAGAAUAUUGGUGACCACACGAAAACAGAAGGUUGCUGAUAUGAUGGGAGCUCCUACCCACACCAUCUAUUUGGAGAGGUUGAGCGAACAAAAUUGUUUGUCAAUAUUCAACCGCAUGGCAUUUUAUAAUGCGGAUAAAGAUGGUGCGUUGGAAGCCAUUGGUGAAGAAAUAACAAAAAAGUGCAAGGGUUUGCCUCUUGCUGCAAAGACUCUGGGCAGUCUCAUGCGUUACAAGAAAACGAGGAUAGAAUGGCAAGAAGUUUUGAACAGUAAGAUAUGGGACCUUGAAGAGGUUGAGCAACAAGUUUUCCAACCACUAUUACUGAGUUAUUUUGAUUUGGCACCUACGGUCAAACGAUGCCUUUUAUAUUGUGUUAUCUUUCCAAAAGAUCAUUUGAUCGAUAAAAAUUAUUUGAUUGAGUUGUGGAUGUCACAAGAUUAUCUCUAUUCGAAAGGAAACACAGAGAAGGAAAUAAUUGGCCAAAGGUGUUUUGAUAAUUUAGUAAUGCGAUCUUUCUUCCAAGACUUUAAAAAAGAUGAUGUUGGAGAUAUCUGUAUGUGUAAAAUGCAUGAUAUUGUGCAUGACUUUCUUGUGUUUCUUAAUCAAAAUGAAUGCUUUACAAUGGAGGUCAAGGGUGGUAACGAUCCAACAGAAGCCUUGGGUGAUAAGAUCCGCCAUUUGACCUUAGUGCUUGCACCGGAGGGUCCACUAUCAUGUGUUUUGUCUUCCAGCUGUGAUCUACGUACUCUUGCAACUUUUGAUUCAGAAUUCACCGUUGUCGACUCAACCUUGAUGUCACAGUUGAAACAUCUUAGGACAUUGAAUUUGAGUGAUAAUUCUAUUGAAGUGCUUCCGGAAGAGACAGGUAAAUUGGUGCAUCUGAGGUUCAUUGAUUUGUCUAAAAAUAGAGGUUUGAAAAAGCUACCGAAUGGGGUGUGUAAUUUAUACAAUUUGCAGACAUUGCGCCUUGACUACUGUUGGAAACUUGAAAGUCUACCUCAGAGCAUGGGAAAGUUGAUUAACUUAAAGCAUCUGUAUGUUCGGGGUUGUCGUAAUCUGAAGUACUUGCCGAAAGGGAUUGGGAGAUUAACAAAUCUAAGAAGACUAGAUCAGAGCCCUGUUGGCGGUGGUAAAGACGACGAUGAAGCGUUCAAAUUGGGAGAUUUGAGAAACUUAGACCAACUUCGUCUUCUCAGCAUAGAAAUUGUUGGGGAUGUGAAAGUUGCUGCGGGUGAGCUGGGGAACAAACAACAACUCUCAGAAUUGAGUAUAGAGUUUAAGGAGUGUGGAACUACGGAAAUACUGAAUUUCUUACAACCGCAUCCAAAUUUGGAAUAUUUGAGAAUCGAUGGCUAUAAUGGAAGCACUGCCCCCAACUGGAUCAUGUCAUUAAACAAUUUGAGAGUUCUUGAUCUUGCAUGGUGGAAUAAAUGUGAAGUUUUACCUCCUUUGGGAAUAUUGCCGUCCCUCGAAAGGCUGGAGAUUAAUGGUAUGAAGGGAGCAAAAAGGUUGGAGUUGAGUUUCUGGGAAUAGAAAAGGAAACGUCAUCAGCAUCAUCAUGCAUUACUCUAUUCCCAAAACUUAAAAAACUCCUAUUUUACUUGAUGGCGGCGUGGGAAGAGUGGAAAGGAGUGGAAGAGUGGAAGGAAGAGGAUUCUCAUAUUACCAUAAUGUCAUGCCUUUCUUCUUUACAAUUUCAGAGCUGCUAUCGGCUAAAAACACUGCCAGACUUCUUGCGGAAAACACCACUUCAGACGCUUGAAAUCAGCUCCUGUGAUAGUCUUGCACGAGGUUGCCAGAAAGGCAGAAAGGAGUGGCCCAAGAUUUCUCACAUCCCCAACAUCGAAAUAAGAGGCAGAGUCCAACCAGAGGAUGCUAUUGAGUUACCUGAGAGGCCUUCCACUUCAGGCAUAGCGGAAACAGAGGAAGCUGUUUAGUUGCAUGAGAGGCCUUCCACUUGUGGUCCCGAGUACAAAACAAUGCUGCCUGAAAUAAACCGAAACCAUUACAUUGGAGCUGACUUUGGCUGGGUGCAAGAAUCAUCGAAAAGGAAGAGUGCAGAAACAGGGCUCACAUACGUUCUCUUUACAAGAAGUGAGAUGGAAAUGGAGAGAAAGCUGCAUGCAUUACUAAAACCGGUGCUUGGCUGCUGCGUUACAGAUUUCACUAGAAUGGUCUUUUCCUUUGCUUUCGGGCAGAAUGAAGAUCGUCUGGACAUAGGCACAUUCGAAGGCUCCAUUGCGUGGUGUGUGUAGUAUAAUGCAAAAAGCUCCAGACUUGUUUGAGGUCUCCGGUACAAGUCAGAACCAAGAAUACAACACAAAAGGUGAUCUUAAUACAACUUCCUAUAUAUUUCUCAGAAAAAUGCUGUCAAACGACUAAAAUGUUAAUUCACUGGACCUGCAGAGUAGAGUGCAAAUUUUAUGUAAAUACUAUAGGAAAUUCAAGAAACCUGUGAUUCGAGAAACAAUCGAUGAUAUGCAAGCCAUACUUGCUGUUAAGUAGGCUCACGGCAUUAAAUGCAGCAACCUAUAUCUUGCCA